ACGGAGGAUGCAAGCGUUAUCCGGAUUUAUUGGGUUUAAAGGGUGCGCAGGCGGAAUGGUAAGUCAGUGGUGAAAUCUUCCGGCUCAACCGGGAAACUGCCAUUGAUACUGCCGUUCUUGAGUAUAGUUGAAGUGGGCGGAAUGUGUCAUGUAGCGGUGAAAUGCUUAGAUAUGACACAGAACACCGAUAGCGAAGGCAGCUCACUAAGCUAUAACUGACGCUCAUGCACGAAAGCGUGGGGAUCAAACAGG
rnacentral:rRNA from 1 species